GGUGCAGUGAUGAUUUGCGCAGGGGUACGGACCUCAGCUGAUGAUGGGAGCUGAGUCUGUGGUGUCAGAGACUCGGGUCACUGCCCACAGACGAGACGCACGCACCACUGAGCACC